rnacentral:lncRNA from 1 species
UAUUACUUUGGGACUACGGAAUAGUAUUCUUGGAGAUCCCCUUGCACAUUUACUUUUGAGACUACGGAACGGUAUUGGGGUAGAUCCCUCUGCAUAUUUACUUUGGGGCUACGGGACGGUAUCCUCGGAGAUCCCCCUAUAAAUUUACUUUUGGGACUACGAGACGGUAUCCCGGGAGAUCCCCUAUUGUUAUUCAUGUACAUUGUACUGUUAUGUUUUUGUGAUUUCUUUCUUUUUAAAUUUCAAUCUUUUAUUAUACUGC